rnacentral:rRNA from 1 species
GAUGAACGCUGGCGGCGUGCUUAACACAUGCAAGUCGAACGGAAAGGCCCAAGCUUGCUUGGGUACUCGAGUGGCGAACGGGUGAGUAACACGUGGGUGAUCUGCCCUGCACUUCGGGAUAAGCCUGGGAAACUGGGUCUAAUACCGGAUAGGACGAUGGUUUGGAUGCCAUUGUGGAAAGUUUUUUCGGUGUGGGAUGAGCUCGCGGCCUAUCAGCUUGUUGGUGGGGUAAUGGCCUACCAAGGCGUCGACGGGUAGCCGGCCUGAGAGAGUGUACGGCCACAUUGGAACUGAGAUACGGCCCAGACUCCUACGGGAGGCAGCAGGGGGGAAUAUUGCACAAUGGGCGCAAGCCUGAUGCAGCGAGGCCGCGUGGGGGAUGACGGCCUUCGGGUUGUAAGCUCCUUUCGCUAGGGACGAAGCGUUUUUGUGACGGUACCUGGAGAAGAAGCACCGGCUAACUACGUG